GCUUCCACGGAGGCCUCCGUGUAGGCCGCAGUGAAGCCUGAACUCGAGUAGGGCCCAAGCAAGCCAGGAAGGAGGAGGCAGCCAGAGUGUUCUCUGCAGCAGAAGAUCCCUUGCUGCACUGCUUAACCCAGACCAGCAUUUGCCAGGGAUCUGAGGUGGUGAACUUGCAACCCUGAGAGCAAGAAGAACAUUCUGAUGCAUCUUAUCUUGGCAGAGGUCGGAAAGGAACUGAGGAUGGUGAUGCUCCAAGCACCUUCUCUAACAGAUGCACACACAUGGUGGGUGGAGUCAGUGCUUUGGAAUCUUCCCAAUUGAUCUACUGUGCCGGCACAGAUCCCAGUAGCGUGAAUACAACGAGGUCACAUGAAAGUUCAUAUUUUGCUUCUCAAUACAGUGGCUGGCAUCCAAAGAGCUACUUUAGGUGCAUUCAAGGCCUUAAUUAUAUCUAGUGGAAUUGUUGGGUCCCCCCCUUCCCCAAAUGGUAGAUGCCCAUCAAACCACAAAUUUCAAACUUUCCUCAUGUUUGAAAAGGAGGUUUGCUGUGCAGCAUGGAGGGCUGGUGUUUAAAAAACAUAUGUCCGAACUUAUCUUGGGUAUGCACAACUGGUCAUUUGCUUCUUUGGAUUCAAGCCAAUAUCUUGACCAGCACAGUUUACUCCUGAAAUAUGCCGCGGUCUAGCAUGUAAGAUCCUUGUGUGGCAGCAGAUUUUCUUGUGCACAGUUGAUGCUGAUGUGCAUCUGAGACUACUGAGCUGACUGGAUUUGCUUUUUACGGGGAAAUGAUGUACAUUCCCAUCCAAAAGCACUAGUUGUUGUAUGCUAGUUGCACAUAACUAUAACUGGUUUUAUACUGUGUUAAUCACCAUUUUUAAUUAGAUGUGCAAAAGGCUACAACUAUAUCCAUUUGUAAAUCAGAGAAUAUACAUUGAACAGAUCACUUAAUAAACCAGUUAAACCUACAGUUUUGGACUAGCACACCCAUUAUAAACAUAUUUAUCAAAAAGUAAGUCCCAUUUAUUUCAGUAGGUUGCAGUUUUAAGUUGCUUAUUUGGAUUAAAUUGCACUGAAAUUCAUGGACCCUCUCCUCACCCCACCCCCUAUGUAAAUGUGUUUAUGGCUGUGACAUAAAUCUGUUGUGGUUUUUUUUGUUAACUUAAUAGUGAAUUGUGCAGUAAAAAACACUUUACACUUAAAACAACAGUUUCAUCUGUACCUGCCUAAUAUGUGUCAGAGGAUAUGCUGAAGAUAAACACCCGUACUAACUAAUAUUGGAAACCCUCCAAAAUAAGUUUAAAGUAUGGUUUCAUAUAGGUAGAUGUCUUAUUUCUGUACAAAUGAGUUUUAUUCGCCUCACAUGCUGAUAAAGCUUCAUGCUUAUUUCCCCUUAUUGAAAUCCUUGCCAUUAAAUAUACUGCAUUCACUAUGAUUUAUACUAAGUACUUGGACCUUAUUAAGAAACCAGCAUUAAUCAUGUCUUCCAAAUACAAAAAUAGCUGUAGCAAUAAAUUCUUAUCCUCAUGAUUGUCUGUUGUGCAAUCAAUUUUAAAACGUUGCUUUAAUUGUAUUAUUCUGCCAACAUAUUUUUUUAGUUGCAAUUCAUCAACUAGUUAAGCUAAAAUACUUAGUUAUUAUCUUAAAUCCACAUAUUUUGAUUUAGUUGAAUUGGCUGCCCAAAAACCCCAGACUAGACUGGAUUGCUCUUCUGUACUGCCUCUUUAAGAAACAAGCUUGGAAGGUGUCAGGAUAGGGGUUGCAAGCCAGCUUGAUUCAAGCUGGGCUCGACAGGUUUGGGGGUCGAACCGGACCAGCAUCAGCCUGUCUGAGUUCGAACUGAACCGGGCCCGGUUCGAACCAAACCAGCUCAGAGCCCUACUGGUAAAGGGGAAUCCAGUGAGGAUUUGCCUUUACCAAUAAAGCGGGGGGGGGGCAGGGGGCUUCCCAAGGUAGAGAAGGCAGGAGGGAUGUAAGCAACUACUUACAAGUUACGCACGUGACAGUGGGGGGACACAGCCCCCCCCAGCCUCUCCCAGAGUAGGCAGGGCCACCAGCAGCCUGGUUCGGGCCUCUGUGCACAUAUGGAGACUAUUUUACUGACAACCACUUCCAUUGUUUGACCAAUCCUGUUUGACUAGGAUUCCCCAGAAAUUCUGGAUUUGGUAGGAGCAGGGGUUUUAACCAUUUACCUCCUUGCAGCUGCUAUUUGCCCAGGAAGAAAAGCUCCCAUUGAUGCCAACAGGAGUAUCAUUCCCAGGGGAAAUAAGGAAGCCUGCAGGAAGCCUGAUCCCAACUGAAGCCACAGACGAGGCAAAUAGUUAAAUCUCCACUGCCCCCCUGCCCCCCCAUCUCCCUGUCACAGUCCCAAUCCAAGUCAAGGAUGCUGUAGUUGCUAUUUAGUAUAAACAUUAAGCAUAUCAGGGCCAAUGAUGUGUAGUUUGACCCUCUAUGCAGAAGUUUGUUUGUUUGUUUGUUUCAGAGUGUGAUAGUGAUCUACACGCGUGGAAAAAUUUGUUGAUACCCUUACAGCUCAUUGAAAAAGUGUUUUAUGCCUCUUGAAAAGCGAUUAAAUGAAAAGCAAUUGUCUCAUGUAUACCUGCAUGCCUUUGAUAUGUCAUCGAGUAAAGUAAAGCAAGUGUGAAAAGAGAUAAAGUAUUGCUUAUUCUACAAAGAUAUUCUAAAGUGGCCUGGACACAUUUGUUGGUACCCCUAGAAAAGAUCAUAAAUAAUUGGAUUAGAGUGAUUUUUGAAAUUAGCUGUUCUCUUUAAUUAGUAUCACACAUGUCUCCAGUCAUGCAAUCAGUCAUUCAGCCUAUUUAAAUGGAGAAAAGUGGUAACUCUGCUGUUUGGUAUCAUUGUGUGUCCCACAAUGAACAUGGACCAGAUAAAGCAAAGGAGAGAGUUGUCUGAGGAGAUCAGAAAGAAAAUUAUAGACAAGCAUGUUAAAGGCAAAUCUCCAAGCAGUUUGAUGUUCCUGUGACAACAGUUGCAAAUAUGAUUAAGACGUUCCAUGGGACUGUAGCCAACCUUCCAGGACACAGCUGCAAGAGGAAUAUCAACCCCAGAAUGGGCAGAAGGACACACAGCUAAAAUCACCCAAGAAUAGCUAAGGACAAAACAUUGGACCAUUCUGAAGGGGCCUUCUAUGAGCCCUGAUUCGAAUCCUAUUGAACAUCUAUGGAAAGAACGGAAACAUGGAGUCUGGAGAAGGCACCCUUCAAACCUGACACAGCUGGAGUAGUUUGCUCAGGAAGAGUGGGCCAAACUACCUGUUGACAGGUGCAGAAGUCUCAUUGAGAGUUACAGGAAUCGCUUGUUUGCAGUGAUUGCCUCUAAAGGUUGUGCAACAAAAUAUUAGGUUAAGGGUCCCAUCAUUUUUGUCCAUGCCAUUUUCAUUUGUGUUAUUCUUUGAAAUAUUCUGUUGCAUCAAAACUCUAAAGCAAAGAAUUUUGGUUUUUUGUUUUGUUUGAGAUUUUUUUAAAUGUGGAAUAAACAAUGAUGGGUGCCAA